rnacentral:ncRNA from 2 species
UACGGACAGGAUUGACAGAUUGAUAGCUCUUUCUCGAUUCCGUGGGUGGUGGUGCAUGGCCGUUCUUAGUUGGUGGAGCGAUUUGUCUGGUUAAUUCCGAUAACGAACGAGACUCUGGCAUGCUAACUAGUUACGCGACCCCCGAGCGGGUCUGCGCCUGCCACCUGUGCGGGGGCCGGCAGGACCCCGACAAGCAGCUCAUGUGCGAUGAGUGCGACAUGGCCUUCCACAUCUACUGCCUGGACCCGCCCCUCAGCAGUGUUCCCAGCGAGGACGAGUGGUACUGCCCUGAGUGCCGGAAUGAUGCCAGCGAGGUGGUACUGGCGGGAGAGCGGCUGAGAGAGAGCAAGAAGAAGGCGAAGAUGGCCU